rnacentral:rRNA from 1 species
AUUGAACGCUGGCGGCAGGCCUAACACAUGCAAGUCGAGCGGAUGACGGGAGCUUGCUCCUUGAUUCAGCGGCGGACGGGUGAGUAAUACCUAGGAAUCUGCCUGAUAGUGGGGGACAACGUUUCGAAAGGAACGCUAAUACCGCAUACGUCCUACGGGAGAAAGCAGGGGACCUUCGGGCCUUGCGCUAUCAGAUGAGCCUAGGUCGGAUUAGCUAGUUGGUGAGGUAAUGGCUCACCAAGGCGACGAUCCGUAACUGGUCUGAGAGGAUGAUCAGUCACACUGGAACUGAGACACGGUCCAGACUCCUACGGGAGGCAGCAGUGGGGAAUAUUGGACAAUGGGCGAAAGCCUGAUCCAGCCAUGCCGCGUGUGUGAAGAAGGUCUUCGGAUUGUAAAGCACUUUAAGUCGGGAGGAAGGGCUGUAGGCUAAUACCUUGCAGUUUUGACGUUACCGACAGAAUAAGCACCGGCUAACUUCGUGCCAGCCGCCGCCGUAACAC